rnacentral:rRNA from 1 species
UAGCGUAGGGGGCAAGCGUUGUCCGGAUUCGAUUGGGCGUAAAGAGCGUGUAGGCGGCCAGGUAGGUCGGUUGUGAAAACUGGAGGCUCAACCUUCAGAGGUCGACCGAAACCAUCUGGCUAGAGUCCGGGAGAGGAGAGUGGAAUUCCUGGUGUAGCGGUGAAAUGUGCAGAUAUCAGGAGGAACACCGGUGGCGAAGGCGGUUCUCUGGGCAUUACCUGACGCUGAGGAGCGAAAGUGUGGGGAGCGAACAGG